UCCCUGGUGGCUCAGAUGGUAAAGAAUCUGCCUGAAAUGCAGGAGAUCCAGGUUUUAUCCCUGGGUCGGGAA
rnacentral:tRNA from 1 species